UGUGUAGUUACGUCUAUUUUUCAGUUUUAGCCAUGACGUUGUCAGUUUGUUUUAGAUUUAUGAGUUUGACUCUCCCUUUGGUAUCUUUCGUCCCUCUUUUGUAUUCGUGGUUCACAUUUAUCCACGAAAUCCACAAAGAUUGUUAUCCCACUAAUAAACAUGAAUCCACAAAGAUUGUUAUCCCACUAAUAAAUCCACAGUAAUACAUGGUUAAUAUUCUCAACAAUAAUGCUACUGUGGUUAUGAACAUGUAUUGAAGACAAACUUUAGAUGCAGUUAUUAUUCAUAUAAGUUUAGCCUUUUCUAGCCGAAUUCCACACAAUUUAUUUUAAUUUUGUAUAUUCACAGACCUGCCAACUUUUGAAAAUCUCCAUGGGGGAUUUAGUGCGCGACCAGAUUUUUUAGGGUUACAAUUUUAGCGACUUUUCUGUGUGCAUUGUUUUUUACUCCUUAAAUAGUCUAAGUUCUCUUCUUUUUUCUUUUGGUAUAAUAAUGAUGAGCUUGUAGGCCUUGAUUUCUUUUAUUUGCAUGAUUCUUGUUCUAUUGAAUUAUAAAAUUAACAAAAUAACUGAAGAAUAGAGAAAAAUGGCAUUAAAAAUAAAGGAUUCAAAGUAGAGACCCCCCUUUUCCCCCUCCAAAGACCUUCUUAUCUAUGAACCUUGACUCAAAAGACCUAAAACUACAUGUCCUAAAGUUUGAAGGAUGAAGACAGAUUUUGAUUUAGUCUUACUUAUGGUCUUAUCAGUAUCAAUGAGAAAAUGGAUAAAAUUGGAGUUAUCUUUCUUUGUAUUCAAAGGUGCUCUUGUAAAGCAAAAUUAUAUCCGGGUGAAAUUUGAUCCGGAGGAAAAAAUGUCACAGUAGUUGUUGUUAUUUUUUUAUCCGGAGGAAAAUAUUUCCCUGGGAUAUUUUUUAUCCUUUGCCGUGAAAUUCUAUCUGGGUAGUUAACUUAUUAUAGUUAUUAGAAAAAAACUUAUCCUUUAAAAAUACUAUGAAAUAACAAGUGUAUUUGAAAUAAAGCGAAAUUAUUAAAAAAAAAUGUAUUAUAAUGGUAAAUAAUUUCACAAAUUAUCCUUGAAAAAAUUUCCUGAAAUAUUCAAGUCAAUAUCAUCCUUUUAAAA
rnacentral:lncRNA from 1 species